rnacentral:lncRNA from 1 species
GGUGUCUCCACAUUAGAAGCAUCCUAUGUAGCUGUUCUGCUUGCAGCUGCCCAAGUCUGCCUGGGCCUCCUGCAUGAGGUCAUGAGUCUUAAUAAAGCCACUGACCCACACAUUUGGAAUCGUACUGACUUUUCACAACUAACAGCCAACACAUUGCCAAGAAGCAAUUCAAUUGUUGAGGAUAUCACAUCAUGCCAGGGAAAGAGAGAUGGAAUUCAGAAAGCCUGGGAUAUUGCAGGGCAUUAGUUCUCGGCGAGAUAUAUGGGGUUGGAGAGGACAGGAGCCAGAAGCUCCCAGUGCAGCAGCAAGGCUGGCCCACGUGAGCACCUGGAGCAUCAUUUCUGCUGCCACAUGCUUGGGCUGCCCCACCCCGCCGUGCCCUGCUCAGCCGUGCCCUGCUCCAUCUCCCUCGCCAGGCCUGAGACCGGCCCCCAGUGUGUUGUGACUCCUGAGGUCUCUCAGCUCUCCCUCAACCCCCAGGAGAAUUGCUCUCCACUCCAGAAGCCGCCUGAUGGGGAGGCUGACCCCUCUCCAGGACUGACUGAUCCAGGUUUAUCCUGACAGUAACCUCUCCCCAGGUCGGAAGACCUCUCAGGCUCUGUUUCUAGGGAGGCUGACCUGCUGACAAUGCUCCUAGCUGGAUUUUGUAAGCGGUCUUGAAUAAAGUCUUCCUCACUGUUUUAACAAGAGACAAGGUAAUGUUCAUUGAACAUCUUAUACAAAGAGGAAACCUGGCACAGAAGUGGACAUGCACUCGGAGGGAAAAUGCCAAGUGACAAUGAAGGCAGAGAUCAGGUGAUGCAUCUGCAAGCUGAGCAACAUCAGGAAUUGCCAAAAACCACCAGGAGCUGGAGAGGCCUGGGACAGAGCCUCCCACGGAGCCUCAAGGGAGCCAGCCCUGCCCACGCCUUGAUCUUUGACGUCCGACCUCAAGAACUAUGAAAGAACCCAUUUCUGUUGGUGAAGGCUCCCCGUCUGUGGUCCCCUGUCCUGGCAGCCCUAGGAACCUGACCUCUGGUCCCUCUGCAUCCCUGGCAUCACUCUGCCUCCCUCUCUUUUUCUCCAGUGAAUCCAACACACUCUCAGUGAGACAGCCAGGUGGCAAGGGGUUCUCGGAGAAACUCCAGCCGGCCUGCUCGCUGGGCAUGUACACUGGAGUGGAGCCACAGAAGUUCACGGUGUUUGCAGCAGGGAGGAGCCUGGCCACUCCUCUUCCUGGUUGGAACCUGGAAUUUAUUUUGUGAGGCGGGAAGCCUAUACUGGGGAGACUCUUGCUCUGCUGAGUCCCCAUUCCCCCUUUAUUUUCCUUUUUGCCCAAUAAAUCCUAUUAUUCUCAGUCUUCAAAUU